GAUGAACGCUGGCGGCGUGCCUAAUACAUGCAAGUCGAGCGAACGGACGAGAAGCUUGCUUCUCUGAUGUUAGCGGCGGAUGGGUGAGUAACACGUGGAUAACCUACCUAUAAGACUUGCAUAACUUCGGGAAACCGGAGCUAAUACCGGAUAAUAUUUUGAACCGCAUGGUUCAAAAGUGAAAGACGGUCUUGCUGUCACUUAUAGAUGGAUCCGCGCUGCAUUAGCUAGUUGGUAAGGUAACGGCUUACCAAGGCAACGAUGCAUAGCCGACCUGAGAGGGUGAUCGGCCACACUGGAACUGAGACACGGUCCAGGCUCCUACGGGAGGCAGCAGUAGGGAAUCUUCCGCAAUGGGCGAAAGCCUGACGGAGCAACGCCGCGUGAGUGAUGAAGGUCUUCGGAUCGUAAAACUCUGUUAUUAGGGAAGAACAUAUGUGUAAGUAACUGUGCACAUCUUGACGGUACCUAAUCAGAAAGCCACGGCUAACUACGUG
rnacentral:rRNA from 1 species